rnacentral:rRNA from 1 species
UACAGAGGGUGCGAGCGUUGUUCGGAAUUAUUGGGCGUAAAGGGCGCGUAGGCGGUGCGGUAAGUCACCUGUGAAAUCUCCUGGCUCAACUGGGAGCUUGCAGGCGAAACUGCCGUGCUGGAGUGUGGGAGAGGUGCGUGGAAUUCCUGGUGUAGCGGUGAAAUGCGUAGAUAUCAUUUGGAACGCCAACGGUGAAAACAGCUGGCUGGGGGUGUGCUGACGCUGAGACACGAAAGCCAGGGGAGCGAACGGG